GACGAACGCUGGCGGCGUGCUUAACACAUGCAAGUCGAACGGGUCUGCCCUGUUUUUUGCGGGGUGGGUCAGUGGCGAACGGGUGAGUAACACGUGAGUAACCUGCCCCUCACUUCUGGAUAACCGCUUGAGAGGGUGGCUAAUACGGGGUGUUCUGGCUGUGCCGCAUGGUGUGGCUGGGAAAGAUUCACUUUUGUGGUGUUUUGGUGGGGGAUGGGCUCGCGGCCUAUCAGCUUGUUGGUGGGGUGAUGGCCUGCCAAGGCUUUGACGGGUAACCGGCCUGGGAGGGUGGGCGGUCACACUGGGGCUGAGAUACGGCCCAGACUCCUGCGGGAGGCAGCAGUGGGGGGUAUUGCACAAUGGGCGGAAGCCUGAUGCAGCGACGUCGCGUGAGGGAUGGAGGCCUUCGGGUUGUGAACCUCUUUCGCCGGUGAAGAAGGUCCUGCUCUUUGUGGUGGGGUUGACGGUAGCCGGGUUAUGAAGCGCCGGCUAACUACGUG
rnacentral:rRNA from 1 species